AAUGAUAAUAUUAUAGAAAUAUUUUUUAUAUUUCUCAUAUUUAUUAUUUAUAUAUUAUGUAAUUUUCUUAUUCAUAUCUCACUAAUAUCAUAGUAUUCUGUGGUAGUAGUCUCGACAUGUUUCAUAAAGGUACAUCGUAUAAAUUAUAUUACAAAUUCAUACUUGGAUGAAAACAAUUGCAAUAUUUGUGAUGGUAAUAUUGGAAGAAAAAUUUUACAAAAAUAAUGUCACUUGGCUCUAGAUUAAAUGUUAAUACUUUAAUAGUACUAAAAACCAAACUGUAAAUUCAAUAAAUUGGAAAUCAAUUGUUUUUUGACAGAAGUAAUUCAAAAUAUUUUAUUCAAUCAACUGUUCAAGAAAAACUACACAAUGUUAUAAUGAGCGAAACAAAUAAAGAGGAAGCACCAGUACAAUAUGAAGAAUGGCCACUCAUAAUAUCAUCUAUGUGUAUAUUAUGUAUUUUUCAGUAACUUAUUUUGACAGUUGAUGAGACUAAACUACUUAACAAUUAUUUGUACUUCAAAGUAAUGUUAAGUUUAUUUACUGUGCCAUUACUUCCAUUUGUUUAUCGCGUGUAUAAUGGUGUUAAUACUUUAUUUAACUCUAUAGAUACUAUGUAGAAGGCAAAAUAUUGUUAUAAUAUUUAUGUAUAAUUAAAUAAUAAGAUAUUUAUUCUA